UCUGGAGGAAAUUGUCAUCAGAGGACGACUGUUAGUAGGCACAUUCUGUGGGAGAUUGUCUCUAGCACACCAAGUGAGGGAGGAACACACAGCUCACUGUGGUCACCUUUCUCUUCCUGGAGAGUGGAAAAGGCCAGCUAAGAGGCUCCAGGAAUGAAGUGAAACCAGUUUUCAAGGAUAAAGAGCAGAUCCAUGGACAAAAUCAGACUCAUUUAUCCCGUCAGAAGAAGGGCAUGGGCAUGAUGGACGGUCAAAAGGAAUCCAGGUGUGCAGGAUGCUAAACUGAUCGCAUCAAUACCUAAUAUUACUGGAGUCUUGUUGGAAAUAAUGUCCUUGCGAUGUUUAGUUCUGGGGAUUUUAGUUUAACACCUAGAAAUUUAAGUCAAAUAAAUUUCCUUUGCAACAGCUUUGAUUAGGAUAUAUCUGUUGAUCUUCCCUGAUCCACAACGUUUUUCUGAUUUAGAGCCAGAGAAGAAGAAGAGGAGGGGGGAGAGGAGGAGGAAGAAUGAGGAGGAGGAGAAAGAAAAAGAAGAAAAGGAAGAGGAGGAGGGGGAGAAAGAAAAGCAGAGAGAGUUUAAGUCUCAUACAGUGAGAACCCUUUAUUCAUGUGAAAGCACAUUUUUAUUUUCUUCACAGUGAUCAUUUGGAACCAUAAAGCAUGACUGUUUGGAACACAAUUUAAGGUAUUUUGUAGAAAUUUCUUUCUAAAACAAAAAAAAAAAAGCAACAAAGCCAAACUAAGCAUUUUAAAUAUAAUGCAAUCUAAGAUAAAUCUCUACUCAAAUUCCACAAUAAAAAUAAAAUCACUACUUCUUUUUUUAAAAAGCUUUUUUUUUUAAUUUUUUGGUUGGGGGAGGCUCAUUUUGUCACCUAGGCUGGACAUAGAUCACCACCUUUGCCUUAGAUGUCACCUGCAGAAAGUUGUGCUUCCAAGAGUUAACUGUAGAUUUCUAAUUUUAUGUAUCUCAUAGGAUAUAAAAAUAUAUAAGGGAAAAGCUUGUAAUCACUCGUCAACAAAAAUACCAUCUCGUGGCCUUGAACUGCCUUAGAAUCAAUAUUUUCGAGUUUUCAAAUAGGAAGUGGACUUUGCUCAAACAAGGGUACAACUAGUGUGUGUGUGUGUGUGUGUGUGUGUGUGUAUCACAAGGCUCAAGACAGAUCGAGGAUUAUCACAGCCUUGUCACAUAACACUGUAUUUAUUUGCCUAAACAAACCAAGGCUUGCAACUACAGGAGUGUUCACAGCCACAUUGUUAGAAAAAAAAAUAAUUCUCUCUGCCUGGAUUAAGAAAUGGCUGCAAAGAACGCUAUUGGAAGUGAAGAAUGGCAGCUAAUGGGGCGGACAGAGUGGACUCCGCUCUGCAGAACAUGGCCAGCAGGCUUCAGGCACUGCAGCUGGAACGUAAUCGCUGGGCCAGCCAGGAGCCCGACAGAGGCACAUUCACAUCUGAGUUCACUGCUAAUGAGCAGAGCAUGCUCUGUAGUUCAACAAUCACAUUAUUAUCUAAGCAUUAUAUUUGGAACAGAAUGCCUGGUAUCUUUUUAUAGAUUUAUGUUAUUUGCUCCAAGUUCAUACUGAGAAAUGGAGAUUAAGAAGAGAGGGAGGAGAGCCCGACAUGGAGUUAUCAAAAGGAAACUUUGUACUGAGCGAGGGCAUUUGGGAUAGAUAUGAUCAUUAGCAUUUUUAUGAGAUUUUUAGCUUCCUUUCUGACACUGAUAAGAGAUCUGUCUUCUCUUAAAUGUAAUGAUCUGUGUAUUUGCCCUUAUUUGCAAGUUCAGAGUCUCAGGGAAGACAAAUCCGAAUACUGUCCGGUACUGGGGUUUCCUUGGGGUGCUGGGACGAAAACAAAAAGGCAUUCAUGCUUAAGUCGGUGACUUCAUGCAGAAGGAUGCAACAUUAGAAACUGAACUAUUUUAGGUUUAUUUCGUUCUGGGGAAAACCCCCUCUGGUGUUGCUCUGUUUGGGAGUGUGUAGGUGGAAAGGGUUGUGAGCCGUGCAGUCCAGAGCCACCACACUACACAAAUCCUUGGGUGACAGUUCUGGAUGAAAAUGUUUAACACCAUCCCCCCAAGUAUUGCUUAAACUUCGUACUCCUAAAUAAGGAAGGGCGCUUAGUUAUAAUUUUUGCAACUAUUUCAUUGUGUAGCCCAAGCUAGCACGGAACUGGUCCUGUCUGUGUUAGCUCAGGGUAGGCUGGAAUUUGCCUUCUUCUGGCCUUGGCCUCAUUGGAUCUGGGAUUGUGUUUAUGUGCUGCCCCGGUUGGCUGGAUUGUAAGACAUUUACAAUCUUGUCACUGAAAUGUAGUAUUUAAGAGAACUUAAGGACCUUUAGCCUGAAGUCAGAUUCUUCAACCUUUUGACACCUAAACCUACUCUUUGCUAGGUUUGCUGAUGGUGGACAAUUCAAUGUGUGUAUACCCCAGGUUUCUGGCAUGUUUAAUGAGAUUAUGUGUGUAGAGUAAUUGCAGCAGUAGUUAGAGUAUUCUACUACUCAUUAUCACUGAUGUCUC